GGUGGUGGUUGUGUUAACAGUAGCCGUGAAAAGGCAGGCUUUUUUUAUGUUUGUGUUGAAUAGUACAGGCUGUGUAUAUGUUGAUUUGAUGGGGAUUUGAAACAAUGUCCGACAAUGAUGGUUGCUUGCUACUUGGCGUGGCAACUCCGUUUGCAGCUGUACCAGCGCUGAGUCGUAUUUGGCGAUGAUGAAGUGCCAUUCUGAGCCUUUUCGCUUUGUCACGAGUCGAAUGGUUUUGUAGUUUCUGUUUUAUAUAGGCCUUUUCGCUUUUUUUAUCCAUCAAUAAGUUAUUUAUUUAGAAUGUUGAAAUACAUAUGUACAGGUUAUAUAUGUUUUGUUCAUCUUAUUCUUAUGUAUAUUUCUUUUAUAAUGCCAUUACACUUACAUUUGGUUAUUUAUUAAUAUAUUAGACUAUCCUAUUUUCAUGAGAUUUGUUGUGGGAACACAUGAAUAGUUGAAUGGCUAAUGAUUUAUUUGUCAUUUAUGGGUCAAAGGUAUGUCAUGAGAUGCAAAUGAAUGACCAAUUUAGUGGUUUUUCUAAUUUUCAUGGACCAGGUUAGUAGUUCACUACCGUUUCUAUAUUGCAUAUAUAUGCAGUGCAAUUUAUAUGGUAGUAUAGUUAGCCUAUUUAUGCUUAAAAAGUGACUAACAUGAAUGUUAUGGUGAUAUUGAUUGUUUAACUAUGUAUUCGACUAUUCGUUGAGAUAAUAUUGUGUUGAAUGAUACACUAAUAAUGUGAAUAGGAAAUUCAUAAGAAAGAGAAUAUUAUUUUUUAUGUGCAAAAAUUUCAUGUUAGAAUGAAACUUAUGUAAUCACCUUAUACUAAAAAAGAAAAAAGAAAAUCCUAACAUACUUCUAACAUGUUAGAAUGAAACAUAUGUAAUCACCUUACAGGGAAAAACAUGUAUUUAAACCAGAGCCCUCGGUUCCAUGAGGACUCUCACAUCAUGAUUGUGCAGAGAUAUAAAGCCAGUAACAUACUUCUUCUUGAUGACAAUUUUUCAACAAAGAAUUGGAGAUUUUGGGCUGGCCAGAUUCUUCGUUAAGGAUUCAGCUUAUGCAUAAAAGUUGUAUGAAAGAUCAAGAAUGAAGAGUGAAGGUUUUGUUUAAAGGGAUGUUAUGCAAACGAUUUGGGUAGCUCUAUUGUGCGUUCGGUUGUUCAGCCUCAUGCUAACUUAAGGCCACCAAUGCCAGAGAUUGUAUCUAUGUUAUAACAUGGAAGGUGGAAAUGGUCAAAAUGAAUGAGAAAGGAUCUUGGGAAGCCAUCUCUGAUUAUUUCCCUUCUCCACUCGAAACUGAAUCACCCAACUUGACUCAACCUCCAAACUCUUGCAGCAAGGAAAGAGGGAAUGAAAGCAUGGCAGUUAAAAAACACUAAUUGAUUGCAAGGUACCGAUCCGUGUGUUAAUACAAGUAGGCAUUGUUCCACGUUAUCCCAUGCGUUGAUUUGCUUUUUCUAGACGAACAUUUCAAGUAAAUAGUAUGUGUAUGUGAAGAAAGUUUUAAUUUCAAAAUGUUUCCUCCUUUAAAUUCCAUAUUUGUGUAGAUAAAUUCAUCUUUUGGU